rnacentral:lncRNA from 1 species
UUUUUUUUUCUUUUAAGAUAUAUAUAUAUAUAUAUAUAUAUAUAUAUAUAUAUAUAUAUAUAUAGUCUCCAGACACACCAGAAGAGGGUACUAGAUCUCAUUACAGAUGGUUGUGAGCCACCACGUGGUUGCUGGGAUUUGAACUCAGGACUUCUGGAAGAGCAGGCAGUGCUCUUAACCGCUGAGCCACCUCUCCAGCCCCGUUGCUUCCCUUUCUACAGCGUCCUCCAGCACACAUUCAGCUGAAACAUUUCAAGGCUGGAAGGCACAUUCCUCCAGACUUCCUUUUACCUCUCAAAACAUCUCAAAGAGCCAUUAGCCUGAUGGGUUCUGUGUGUGGACAUGUUUAGAUUCCACACAAGUUUACGGACGUUUCGCCUUGUUAGGACAGACAGGCACGGGGCCGGACCUUUCCGGAAGAGAUUCUCAGAAGUGUUCGGGAAGCUGCAAGGGUGUUAUUGAUACUGCUCUUGCCUCCCAGCUGGAAGUAAACAGUCCGGAGUCUGUCAGAAAUCAGUCCUAGUGCCGGUACAGCUCAGUGGUGGAACAGUUGCGUACUGUGCACAAGCCAUUAGUCCAAUCGCAAGCAUGAAGGGAGAAGGGAAGAAGGUAUCCAGGGAGGGAGGGAGGAAGA